GAAGUGCGAUAAGUAAUGUGAAUUGCAGAAUUCCGUGAAUCAUCGAAUCUUUGAACGCAAAUUGCACUCUUUGGUAUUCCGAAGAGUAUGCCUGUUUGAGGGUCAGUUAAAUAAAAAUCGGUGUUGUUGCUGCCUUUCGUGGUAACGCUUCGGAUUUGGGUCGUCUUACCUUCGGUUAAGUGACCUAAAAUUUUGCAUGAUUUUUCGAACGUAUUUAAAUUAUUUACGUACGUUUGUGAUAUCGAAUAUAUUAGAUGUGAUCAUUCUCAUGAUUCGUGUCUAUAAUUUUGUAAAAUGACCUCAAAUCAGGUAAGAGUACCCGCUGAACUUAA
rnacentral:misc_RNA from 1 species